GACGAACGCUGGCGGCGUGCUUAACACAUGCAAGUCGAGCGGUAAGGCCCUUUCGGGGGUACACGAGCGGCGAACGGGUGAGUAACACGUGGGUGACCUGCCCUUAGCUCUGGGAUAAGCCUGGGAAACUGGGUCUAAUACCGGAUAUGACUCCAUAGCGCAUGUUGUGGGGUGGAAAGCCUUGUGCGGCUAGGGGAUGGGGCCC
rnacentral:rRNA from 1 species